rnacentral:snoRNA from 1 species
GGCCUUUGUGUUUUCCAUUCACUUUUGGAAACUAGUGAAUGUGGUGUCAAAAAAAGGUGUAAAUUAAAUUCUUUUGCAGCCUAUUCCUGUCCUUGAAUUUAUUGUGUUUGGUGUAAGAGCUGCAUAGGUAACAGUU